GACGAACGCUGGCGGCGUGCCUAAUACAUGCAAGUCGAACGCAGUGGGGACGGGUGAGUAACACGUGGGUAACCUCCCAUCAGAGGGGAUAACACUUGGAAACAGGUGCUAAACCGAUACUGAUGGAUGGACUCGCGGUGCAUUAGCUAGUUGGUGAGGUAACGGCUCAACAAGGCCAAGAUGAAUAGCUGACCUGAGAGGAUGACCGGCCACACUGGGACUGAGACACGGCCCAGACUCCUACGGGAGGCAGCAGUAGGGAAUAUUCGGCAAUGGACGAAAGUCUGAUCGAGCAAUGCCGCGUGAGUGAAGAAGGUUUUCGGAUCGUAAAACUCUUUUGUUAGAGAAGCGGUAUCUAACCAAAAAGCCACGGCUAACUACGUGCCAGCAGCCGCGGUAAUUC
rnacentral:rRNA from 1 species